CACGCCGUAAACGAUGAGUACUAGGUGUUGCGGGUAUUGACCCCUGCAGUGCCGGAGCUAACGCAUUAAGUACUCCGCCUGGGAAGUACGGUCGCAAGACUAAAACUCAAAGGAAUUGACGGGGGCCCGCACAAGCGGUGGAGCAUGUGGUUUAAUUCGACGCAACGCGAAGAACCUUACCUGGGCUUGACAUCCGUGGAACCUUGUGGAAACACGAGGGUGCCUUCGGGAGCCACGAGACAGGUGC
rnacentral:rRNA from 1 species